rnacentral:lncRNA from 1 species
AUGGAGAAGACAGAAAGCUGCGGAGGCAGAUAUUUGCAGCAUGUUCAAGUGAGCAUGAAGACCACAAGUGUGUGUCGAACUUUUCAUGACCUGAUGACUGUGUUUCCCAAUCCUGAUCCUGGAGAACCCCAGCACUGCACGGUUUUGGUGUCUCUUUUAUCUGCCUUGGAGUCUUCACUGAUGAGCUGAUGAGUUGAAUCAGGUGUGUUUGAAUAGGGAGACAUCUCAAAUGUGCAGUGUUGGGGUUCUCCAGGACCAGGAUUGGGAGCCACUGCCUUAUGGGACACUUAUGUGUUUACAGAGAUUUUUAAUAUCUAAUUAUCAAUAUUUCACAUACUGUACAUUGGACAGCUUUCCGUGACAUCUUGUGAGAUCUCGGCAAAAAGUCUGACAAUUCAUUCCAAAACAUGAUGCAUGAUGGGAUACACUAAGCUUUGUAUAGCGCUCCGGAGCAGUAUUGGAGAGGUUUAGUGUGUGUUAAGAACGCUGUGCUUUGGCAUUAUUAAGACUGGGGACAGUCUCGUUCACACACUGUCACGUACACACACUCUCAAGUGGCCAAUACUGCAAGUGUGGGUAUCUGGACAGGGUCAAAGUCUUAAAAAUGAUCCCUAAACACAGCCGCACAUCACAGUCUUAAUAAUCCAGUUUAACACUUGUAUGAUAUUGUACAAGCCCCAGGACGGUCUCAUCUGACACUAUCAGAAUAAUUCAUAUGACUAUAGCUUGCUAUUAAUUACUUGCUUUCAAUAAUGGAUGCAUUUAACAUUUAAUUAUACAGCAUCUUUACAGAGGUGUAAUGUACAAGAUGCACGUAAUUAAUAAUAUUUCCUUCUUUCUGUCUUACAGGAUUUUUUGCAGAUACUGCUGUUCUUCUUUUUCAGGUAUAAAAUAUCGAGCUCAACAGCUAUUUUAAGAGCCAACCCUCACAAACCUUCCUAAAAACUAAAAGAGCUAUUACUGAGUCUCAGCGAAUCUUGCCAUGAUCAGCUCUUCCCAGGUACAUUUGUUUAGAAUAUUUUUUAAUCAACAUUUACUCAUCAAAUGCUCUGGUCUGAAUCUUACUUUA